rnacentral:lncRNA from 1 species
UUUUAUUAAACAUAAUGAUAUAUAUAGAAAAUAAGGGUGUGGCAAAACACAUAAAAUGAUAAAAAAUAUGGCCUUUUCAUCAAAUCACACUAAAACAGACAAUACAGCCCAAAAGUCGCUUUAAUUUACCCUAAAUUUCAGAAAUGCUUUGCAUUUUCUUUGGUUCAAAAGAUUUGGAAGGGAUUUCGGUUGCAAAUUAAUUUUAUAGAUUUUAUUGAUCAUUUAAAUAGCCUCCCCCCCUUUUUUUUUGUAUUUUCGCAAUAAAUU